AUAAGCAUUCAACUUUAUCAAGUGUGUGUCAAGUGUCGAGAAAGAGAAUACGUCUUUAGACAGCUGCGACAGAGCCUGGAAUAUAGCUGGAAAAUACGAAAGAAACCCUCAUACAUAUGUAUGUAUGCUGUGCGCGUGUGUGAGUGUGGUGCAUUCAAGGCUGAUAAAACAACACAAAAAAACAGAGCAAGUGACUUACUAAAAGGCGACAAACACAAAACUACGCGCUAUUCAUUACGCACGGAGCAACAACAAUA